AUUGAACGCUGGCGGCAUGCCUUACACAUGCAAGUCGAACGGCAGCACGGGAGCAAUCCUGGUGGCGAGUGGCGAACGGGUGAGUAAUGUAUCGGAACGUACCUUUCAGUGGGGGAUAACGUAGCGAAAGUUACGCUAAUACCGCAUAUUCUGUGAGCAGGAAAGCAGGGGAUCGCAAGACCUUGCGCUGAUUGAGCGGCCGAUAUCAGAUUAGCUAGUUGGUGAGGUAAAGGCUCACCAAGGCGACGAUCUGUAGCGGGUCUGAGAGGAUGAUCCGCCACACUGGAACUGAGACACGGUCCAGACUCCUACGGGAGGCAGCAGUGGGGAAUAUUGCGCAAGUAGGGGGAAACCCUGACGCAGCAACGCCGCGUGAGUGAGGAAGGACUUCGGUCUGUAAGCUCUGUUAAUGUAGG
rnacentral:rRNA from 1 species